GCAAAGGCCUCUUUGGAGGCCACCGUUGGAGACCUUUAUGUGAUAG
rfam:Egretta garzetta contig88143, whole genome shotgun sequence.